rnacentral:rRNA from 1 species
GACGAACGCUGGCGGCGUGCUUAACACAUGCAAGUUGAACGGUGAAGCGCCUUCCUUUUUGGUGGGUGUGGAUGAGUGGCGCACGGGUGAGUAACACGUGAGUAACCUGCCCCCUUCUUCUGGAUAACCGCAUGAAAGUGUGGCUAAUACGGGAUAUUCUGGGUCUGUCGCAUGAUGGGUCUGGGAAAGAUAUUGUUUCGGUGGGGGAUGGGCUCGCGGCCUAUCAGCUUGUUGGUGGGGUGAUGGCCUACCAAGGCGGUGACGGGUAGCCGGCCUGAGAGGGUGGACGGUCACACUGGGACUGAGACACGGCCCAGACUCCUACGGGAGGCAGCAGUGGGGAAUAUUGCACAAUGGGCGCAAGCCUGAUGCAGCGACGCCGCGUGAGGGAUGGAGGCCUUCGGGUUGUGAACCUCUUUCGCCAGUGAAGCAGGCCUGCCUCGUUUGUGGGUGGGUUGACGGUAGCUGGAUAAGAAGCGCCGGCUAACUACGUG